rnacentral:rRNA from 1 species
UACGAAGGGGGCUAGCGUUGUUCGGAAUUACUGGGCGUAAAGGGCGCGUAGGCGGCCGUUCAAGUCGGGGGUGAAAGCCUGUGGCUCAACCACAGAAUGGCCUUCGAUACUGGACGGCUCGAGACCGGAAGAGGUCAGUGGAACUGCGAGUGUAGAGGUGAAAUUCGUAGAUAUUCGCAAGAACACCAGUGGCGAAGGCGGCUGACUGGUCCGGUUCUGACGCUGAGGCGCGAAAGCGUGGGGAGCAAACAGG